rnacentral:misc_RNA from 1 species
UAGAUUGAAUUAUGAUAACAACAGGUCUAAAUUCCAUCCUUAACCAUAAAUGCAAAUUACACUAGUUUGAUACACAUCUAUUAGCUUGGCCUACUGCUUAAACUUAUAGACUGAAUCCACCCAGGAAUUUCUGAAUUGCAAUGUAGACCUGUUGUUAUCAUAAUUCAAUCUAAAGGUUUCCAAGUAUACUCAAGGUCGCCGUAUUGCUGGAUAGUUAAGACUCCUUUUUUUCAAUGCAGUGACCGAGCACCUUAAAUUAGGGAGGGAAGCUACCCCACCUCCUUGCUGACUCGAAUUUUGCCCAACACUAGGUUUUGGCGAAUACAAACAUGUCCUGCAAGAGAAGUUGGUCUUGUCGAACAAAUUGUAAAGAAUACCUACAGGAUAAUUCAUGACCCCUGUGCUUCAGAAAUGACUACAUUUCCUUUUUCUUUUGAUUUUGGGAUUAUAACAGUGAUUAUAUCCCUCGAUUAAUCAUCUCACACAUGCUAUCAGGCCAAUAAUUUGAACAUAGAAUGGCUUACCAAAACUUAUAACAUCUAAGGUUUCAAACGCUUUCAUGAUUUGAGUACAUUUUGCACUACUGCCUUUUUAAGUAGCAGCAACCAGCUUUGCAAAAAGGAGCGCCGUCUUCUCCUCUUCAGAGCAUUAAUAAGUUUUCGCCAUAAAUUCUGAUGAAAUGAGCAACUCUAAACCACAAUAUCACUACCCUUAAUCAGUAUCUGAUAAUAUCUUCAUCAUAUAGUCGAGAGUCCUGUCAAGUGACUCAUGUCACAAUAAUACAGCAAAUCUAUGCAGUCUUCAAGUGAAUUCCCAUCUCUGAUAUUUACAAUCUAGCUUCAAACUAUAAGAUAUGAGAUUAUGAACAAAGCAGCUGAAUCCUUUACGUACAUCCAUUAAUAUCAUGCAGGCAUUUGCGAAGAGUGGCUGCAUAGUCAUCAAACUGAAUGUCAGUAGGUGGCUGCAAGUCAAAGACGUACGAGAUAGGCUUUGAUGCCAACAUUGGCUUCCUAGUUGUGACAACAUCUGAUAGCUCCCCAAAGCUUGCUUCAUCAAAUGGAAAGGACUCUCUAAGGAAAAAGAAGCUGUCUCUACCCAACUUUUCCACCUGUAACUGUGAAAAUCUAAUGUUGUUCAUGGUGAUGAUAAUUCGCAGUUCAUACAAGGAAUCAGCUAUAAUUCUGAUAGCUAAAUGCUCAAAGAAAUUCUGCACAAUUGUCUCUCUCUCCAAAUUUUCACCAUGGCCAUCUAAAUUAGGGAACCAUAGUAUGCACUUAAUUUCACUCCAUGGAAUGGGAUUCCUCCCUGCUCUAGA